rnacentral:rRNA from 1 species
UACAGAGGUGGCAAGCGUUGUUCGGAAUUACUGGGCGUAAAGUGCGCGCAGGCGGUCUUCCAAGUCAGUGGUGAAAGCCCGGAGCUCAACUCCGGAACUGCCAUUGAAACUGUAAGACUUGAGGAUGAGAGAGGUGAGUGGAAUUCCCAGUGUAGAGGUGAAAUUCGUAGAUAUUGGGAAGAACACCGGUGGCGAAGGCGGCUCACUGGCUCAUAUCUGACGCUCAGGCGCGACAGCGUGGGGAUCAAACAGG